rnacentral:lncRNA from 1 species
ACAUAUAAUGUUGUUUAAUAUGUGGUGAAGAAAAAAAAUUACCUCAAUAAGCUUUUAUUAUCAUCUCAUCAUUAGGUUUCUUUUUCAAAUAGCAUAAUCUUAAUGUACAAACUUCCAUAACAUCAAAACAUAACAUGUAGGUAUGUACACAUUCUCUCUUUAUCUAGAUAUUCUAACUAUCAGAUGGGAUCUUAGAAUAAUUUCCAAUUAGCUAUUCUGUAUGUAAUCUUACAAAAACAUUUUAUAAUCUUGAAUAAGAAAUAUAAUUCUUAUCUCAUUGGCAAAAUGAUGAAAAAUCAUCAUAUAAUUCACAAAACAGUUAACUGUGAAAUUCACCUGAAUCCCAAACAAAACUUGUCUGUUUUAUUAUCUAUUACUGUGUGUAGUGAAGAUCCUACAUUAUUUAAUUUUUUUAUAUCACAAUUGUCUGUUUUAUUAAUUAUUACUCUGUGUAGUGAAGAUCCUACACAAUUUAAUUUUUUUAUAUCACAAUCUAUAUCCCAAGUAAAUAUCUCAUAAAAUUCCACUCACAUACAAAAGAUGCUACUAUAAAUAUGAUCAUUAUUUUACAUGGCAAAGAUGUUUUGAAGUGAUAAAAAAUGUCACAUAAACAAUAAUUAAAAGUUUACAUGUGUGAAAAUUUAUUUUACCAAUAAUUUAUCACCAGAAACCACAAGUCCAAACAUUUUACCUUGAUAAUUUGUUGACAUGAAAAAAUAUUUUCAAAUACAAAAAUGGAAGCAUCAAUUUACCAGAAAAUUAUUAGUUUAUUUGAAGCUUCAGAAUGUAGAUUUUUAUACUGCCUAAAUCAGAGCGAUGUGGAUUUUUAGAAAUUAUGUACUGGAGGAUGUAGCAAAUCACAAAGACUUUCUUCAUUUAUGCUCAGUUUAAAUUAAGAACACUUAAGCUUGCUGGUCGGAUUUGGGCUGGUACUCUGGAAAUCAGUCUGGCGGUGACUCAAAAAACUGGACAUAGUACUACCUGAGGACCCAGAUAUAUCACUCCUGGGCAUAUACUCAGAAGAUGCUCCAACACUGAUAAGGACACAUGAUCCACUUUGUUAAUAGCAACCAUAUUUAUAAUAGUCAGAAGCUGGAAACAACCCAGAUGGUCCUCAUCAGAGGAAUGGAUACAGAAAAUGUGGUACAUUUACACAAUAGAGUACCACUCAGCAAUUAAAAACAAUGAACUCAUGAAAUUCUUAGGCAAAUGGAUGGAUCUGGAGGAUAUCAUCCUGAGUGAGAUAACCCAGUCGCAAAAGAACACACAUGAUAUGCACUCACUGAUAACUAGGUAUUAGCCCAGAAACUUAGAAUAUCCAAGAUACAAUUCCCAAAACACAUGAAACUCAAGAAGAAGGACGGUCAAAGUGUGGAUAUUUCGCUCCUUCUUAGAAUGGGGAACAAAAUAACCAUGGAAGUAAUUACAGAGACAAAGUUCAGAGCUGAGACAGAAGGAAGGACCAUCCAGAGACUGCCCCACCUGGGGAUCCAUUCCAUAUACAGUCACCAAACUUGGACACUAUUGUAGAUGCCAGGAAGUGCUUGAUGACAGAAGUCUCAUAGAUCUAUCUCCUGAGAGAUUCUGCAAGAGCCUGACAAAUACAGAGGCAGAUACUCAGAGUCAACCAUUGUACUGAGCAUGGGGUCCCUGGAGAAGGAGUUGGAG